UUGCAUUGUUUUGUAUCUGACAGGUAAAGGAUGUCCUCUUUGAGCCUGUUCGUAAAACCCAAGAUGCCAUGUUCUUUGUCAAGUCUCCUAGUGGGAUGUGGGUGCCAUGUGGACCUAAGCAACCAGGUGCUGUCCAAAUUACAAUGCAGGAGCUGGCAGCGCAAGGACUAGCAGCAAAUAUUAUUCCACCCCCCAUCACAAAAACAGAUUUUGAUAAGGUUCUUGCUAGACAGAGGCCAACUGUGAGUAAAUCUGACCUUGAGGUUCAUGAGAGAUUUACAAAGGAGUUUGGAGAGGAAGGUUGACAGAUUUAAUGAAGUCAUAUCUCAUUGAUCCACACUAGUGAGUCCGAUCACCAAAGUUUGUACUUUUAUUUAUCACUACUGGAUCCGAUGUUUUAUGUUGUUAGCAUAUUGAAAUGGGGAAGAUUGGUUUCCCUUUACUGUAUUGGACAGAAAAUGGAAGUUUGAUACUUGUUGAAUUGCAUGUUCAAAUUCUGUAAAGAAGAUAAUGAAAAUACUGCGUUGAAGAUAAUUGGAAAUUGUGUCUGCAUGAUUCAGGGGAA